AGUCGAGGGGCAGCAUUUCAGUUUGCUUGCAAACUGGAGAUGGCGACCGGCGCACGGGUGAGUAACACGUAUCCAACCUGCCGAUAACUCGGGGAUAGCCUUUCGAAAGAAAGAUUAAUACCCGAUGGUAUAAUCAGACCGCAUGGUCUUAUUAUUAAAGAAUUUCGGUUAUCGAUGGGGAUGCGUUCCAUUAGGCAGUUGGUGAGGUAACGGCUCACCAAACCUUCGAUGGAUAGGGGUUCUGAGAGGAAGGUCCCCCACAUUGGAACUGAGACACGGUCCAAACUCNUACGGGAGGCAGCAGUGAGGAAUAUUGGUCAAUGGGCGCAGGCCUGAACCAGCCAAGUAGCGUGAAGGAUGACUGCCCUAUGGGUUGUAAACUUCUUUUAUAUGGGAAUAAAGUUUUCCACGUGUGGAAUUUUGUAUGUACCAUAUGAAUAAGGAUCGGCUAACUCCGUGCCAGCAGCCGCGGUAAUACGGAGGAUCCGAGCGUUAUCCGGAUUUAUUGGGGUUUUAAAGGGAGCGUAGGUGGACAGUUAAGUCAGUUGUGAAAAGUUUGCGGCUCAACCGUAAAAUUGCAGUUGAUACUGGCUGUCUUGAGUACAGUAGAAGGUGGGCGGAAUUUCCUGGUGUAGCGGUGAAAUGCUUAGAUAUCACGAAGAACUCCGAUUGCGAAGGCAGCUCACUGGACUGCAACUGACACUGAUGCUCGAAAGUGUGGGUAUCAAACAGGAUUAGAUACCCUGGUAGUCCACACAGUAAACGAUGAAUACUCGCUGUUUGCGAUAUACAGUAAGCGGCCAAGCGAAAGCAUUAAGUAUUCCACCUGGGGAGUACGCCGGCAACGGUGAAACUCAAAGGAAUUGACGGGGGCCCGCACAAGCGGAGGAACAUGUGGUUUAAUUCGAUGAUACGCGAGGAACCUUACCCGGGCUUAAAUUGCAUUUGAAUANUNUGGAAACAGNUUAGCCGCAAGGCAAAUGUGAAGGUGCUGCAUGGUUGUCGUCAGCUCGUGCCGUGAGGUGUCGGCUUAAGUGCCAUAACGAGCGCAACCCUUAUCUUUAGUUACUAACAGGUCAUGCUGAGGACUCUAGAGAGACUGCCGUCGUAAGAUGUGAGGAAGGUGGGGAUGACGUCAAAUCAGCACGGCCCUUACGUCCGGGGCUACACACGUGUUACAAUGGGGGGUACAGAAGGCAGCUACCUGGUGACAGGAUGCUAAUCCCAAAAGCCUCUCUCAGUUCGGAUCGAAGUCUGCAACCCGACUUCGUGAAGCUGGAUUCGCUAGUAAUCGCGCAUCAGCCAUGGCGCGGUGAAUACGUUCCCGGGCCUUGUACACACCGCCCGUCAAGCCAUGAAAGCCGGGGGUACCUGAAGUACGUAACCGCAAGGAG
rnacentral:rRNA from 1 species